UGAUGGUCAAAACUGAACCCUGUUAAUUUAAAAAGCAAACUUUACUGAUAGAAUGAAGAUUGAAGAAAUAGAUUGAGCAUAUUAGAAUUGACUGACAACCAAGAAUUGGUUGUGCUAACAACACUGAGGGUCCUGGUAAAUAAAUCAAAAUAUAAAUCCACGAAGGCAUCCACUAAGAAUCGGCCCUGAGGUUCAUCAUAAAAGGAUCUGAAUACUCAGGAUGAAAAGUAAACCCAUCUGCAGUUUUUUUAUGGUCAUCCUAACAUUUCCUGUCAAUGCAGAGAACUACCAGCCAUCACAAAUGUGUGAAUCAGCAUAGACCAAAAGUUUCCAUCUGAAAAAUCCACCAGGUAUUAGUUUCCAGAAAAUGUUAAGAGAUUGUUUUUAAGAUAGUAUUUGAUAAUGUAGACACGAUUAUUUCUUCCUUCAGUUUUGGGCCUGAAGAACAUCUCUAAUGUUUAGCUAAU